CCUACGGGUGGCAGCAGUGAGGAAUAUUGGUCAAUGGGCGAGAGCCUGAACCAGCCAAGUCGCGUGAAGGAUGAAGGAUCUAUGGUUUGUAACCUUCGUUUAUAUGGGAAUAAAAUGAGGAAAGGGUUCCUUUUUGUAUGUACCAUAUGAAUAAGCAUCGGCUAAAUCAGUGCCAGCAGACGCGGUAAUGCGGAGGAUGCGAGCGUUAUCCGGAGUUAUUGGGUUUAAAGGGUGCGUAGGUGGUUAAUUAAGUCAGCGGUGAAAGUUUGUGGCUCAAACAUAAAAUUGCCGUUGAUACUGGUUGACUUGAGUAUAUUUGAGGUAGGCGGAAUGCGUGGUGUAGCGGUGAAAUGCAUAGAUAUCACGAAGAACUCCGACUGCGAAGGCAGCUUACUAAACUAUAACUGACACUGAAGAACGAAAGCGUGGGGAGCAAACAGGAUUAGAUACCCGGGUAGUC
rnacentral:rRNA from 1 species